rnacentral:rRNA from 1 species
GGUUAAGCGACUAAGCGUACACGGUGGAUGCCCUGGCAGUCAGAGGCGAUGAAGGACGUGCUAAUCUGCGAUAAGCGUCGGUAAGGUGAUAUGAACCGUUAUAACCGGCGAUUUCCGAAUGGGGAAACCCAGUGUGUUUCGACACACUAUCAUUAACUGAAUCCAUAGGUUAAUGAGGCGAACCGGGGGAACUGAAACAUCUAAGUACCCCGAGGAAAAGAAAUCAACCGAGAUUCCCCCAGUAGCGGCGAGCGAACGGGGAGGAGCCCAGAGCCUGAAUCAGUGUGUGUGUUAGUGGAAGCGUCUGGAAAGGCGCGCGAUACAGGGUGACAGCCCCGUACACAAAAAUGCACAUGCUGUGAGCUCGAUGAGUAGGGCGGGACACGUGGUAUCCUGUCUGAAUAUGGGGGGACCAUCCUCCAAGGCUAAAUACUCCUGACUGACCGAUAGUGAACCAGUACCGUGAGGGAAAGGCGAAAAGAACCCCGGCGAGGGGAGUGAAAAAGAACCUGAAACCGUGUACGUACAAGCAGUGGGAGCCUCUUUUAUGGGGUGACUGCGUACCUUUUGUAUAAUGGGUCAGCGACUUAUAUUCUGUAGCAAGGUUAACCGAAUAGGGGAGCCGAAGGGAAACCGAGUCUUAACUGGGCGUUAAGUUGCAGGGUAUAGACCCGAAACCCGGUGAUCUAGCCAUGGGCAGGUUGAAGGUUGGGUAACACUAACUGGAGGACCGAACCGACUAAUGUUGAAAAAUUAGCGGAUGACUUGUGGCUGGGGGUGAAAGGCCAAUCAAACCGGGAGAUAGCUGGUUCUCCCCGAAAGCUAUUUAGGUAGCGCCUCGUGAAUUCAUCUCCGGGGGUAGAGCACUGUUUCGGCAAGGGGGUCAUCCCGACUUACCAACCCGAUGCAAACUGCGAAUACCGGAGAAUGUUAUCACGGGAGACACACGGCGGGUGCUAACGUCCGUCGUGAAGAGGGAAACAACCCAGACCGCCAGCUAAGGUCCCAAAGUCAUGGUUAAGUGGGAAACGAUGUGGGAAGGCCCAGACAGCCAGGAUGUUGGCUUAGAAGCAGCCAUCAUUUAAAGAAAGCGUAAUAGCUCACUGGUCGAGUCGGCCUGCGCGGAAGAUGUAACGGGGCUAAACCAUGCACCGAAGCUGCGGCAGCGACACUAUGUGUUGUUGGGUAGGGGAGCGUUCUGUAAGCCUGUGAAGGUGUGCUGUGAGGCAUGCUGGAGGUAUCAGAAGUGCGAAUGCUGACAUAAGUAACGAUAAAGCGGGUGAAAAGCCCGCUCGCCGGAAGACCAAGGGUUCCUGUCCAACGUUAAUCGGGGCAGGGUGAGUCGACCCCUAAGGCGAGGCCGAAAGGCGUAGUCGAUGGGAAACAGGUUAAUAUUCCUGUACUUGGUGUUACUGCGAAGGGGGGACGGAGAAGGCUAUGUUGGCCGGGCGACGGUUGUCCCGGUUUAAGCGUGUAGGCUGGUUUUCCAGGCAAAUCCGGAAAAUCAAGGCUGAGGCGUGAUGACGAGGCACUACGGUGCUGAAGCAACAAAUGCCCUGCUUCCAGGAAAAGCCUCUAAGCAUCAGGUAACAUCAAAUCGUACCCCAAACCGACACAGGUGGUCAGGUAGAGAAUACCAAGGCGCUUGAGAGAACUCGGGUGAAGGAACUAGGCAAAAUGGUGCCGUAACUUCGGGAGAAGGCACGCUGAUAUGUAGGUGAAGUCCCUCGCGGAUGGAGCUGAAAUCAGUCGAAGAUACCAGCUGGCUGCAACUGUUUAUUAAAAACACAGCACUGUGCAAACACGAAAGUGGACGUAUACGGUGUGACGCCUGCCCGGUGCCGGAAGGUUAAUUGAUGGGGUCAGCGCAAGCGAAGCUCUUGAUCGAAGCCCCGGUAAACGGCGGCCGUAACUAUAACGGUCCUAAGGUAGCGAAAUUCCUUGUCGGGUAAGUUCCGACCUGCACGAAUGGCGUAAUGAUGGCCAGGCUGUCUCCACCCGAGACUCAGUGAAAUUGAACUCGCUGUGAAGAUGCAGUGUACCCGCGGCAAGACGGAAAGACCCCGUGAACCUUUACUAUAGCUUGACACUGAACAUUGAGCCUUGAUGUGUAGGAUAGGUGGGAGGCUUUGAAGUGUGGACGCCAGUCUGCAUGGAGCCGACCUUGAAAUACCACCCUUUAAUGUUUGAUGUUCUAACGUUGACCCGUAAUCCGGGUUGCGGACAGUGUCUGGUGGGUAGUUUGACUGGGGCGGUCUCCUCCUAAAGAGUAACGGAGGAGCACGAAGGUUGGCUAAUCCUGGUCGGACAUCAGGAGGUUAGUGCAAUGGCAUAAGCCAGCUUGACUGCGAGCGUGACGGCGCGAGCAGGUGCGAAAGCAGGUCAUAGUGAUCCGGUGGUUCUGAAUGGAAGGGCCAUCGCUCAACGGAUAAAAGGUACUCCGGGGAUAACAGGCUGAUACCGCCCAAGAGUUCAUAUCGACGGCGGUGUUUGGCACCUCGAUGUCGGCUCAUCACAUCCUGGGGCUGAAGUAGGUCCCAAGGGUAUGGCUGUUCGCCAUUUAAAGUGGUACGCGAGCUGGGUUUAGAACGUCGUGAGACAGUUCGGUCCCUAUCUGCCGUGGGCGCUGGAGAACUGAGGGGGGCUGCUCCUAGUACGAGAGGACCGGAGUGGACGCAUCACUGGUGUUCGGGUUGUCAUGCCAAUGGCACUGCCCGGUAGCUAAAUGCGGAAGAGAUAAGUGCUGAAAGCAUCUAAGCACGAAACUUGCCCCGAGAUGAGUUCUCCCUGACUCCUUGAGAGUCCUGAAGGAACGUUGAAGACGACGACGUUGAUAGGCCGGGUGUGUAAGCGCAGCGAUGCGUUGAGCUAACCGGUACUAAUGAACCGUGAGGCUUAACCUU